AACAGUGACGCUGAUCAGGUGAGCUACUGCGCAUGCUCCAAUUCCAGCGUAUCCGGAAAUACUUCGUAGUUGGGUAGAGGCGGGAGCGGACGUUAAUGUCGGCGUUGCUCGUUCACCGCAUCUUUUAGCGUUACUGAACAGAGGAAAAACAACGUCCUAGGCAUCGGGGUGGAACGACUCUGAACAGAGGUAUCUGCCAUCGAGACCAAACCACGCCUGUACAACACUGAACACAGAGGAACAGGAUCUUCAUUUGACUCGUUAAACACUUAAACCUCAAGUGACUGCAGGAAACAACCCAGUGACUGAGGGAGCACACAUCAGCGGAGAAAUGAUCGGCUGUUUGGCCUUGAUGACGCUUGAUUGAGGAUGUUACAACAAUGCUCCACUGUUGCUGGCUUCAGGCGAGACAUGGACGAGCUGCUUCAGCACCCCACACGAAACGAACCCACCACCCAACAGUAAAUGUUCUUUCCAGGAGGCACCGAGCAGCAUUUCAGCCGGUAGAGCUGAGAAGUCCAGCAAGUCCAUGUGUUGAACCUGAGGCUGCUGAUUCAGAGGUACUGGCAAAGGACACUCUCAGUACAGAAAUAUGAAGCUUUAGUUUCUCUGUGUUUCAGUUCUGUAAUCAGAGUGGAGCAGAUGUGCUCCUGCAUUUCACACAUCGCUUUAAAAAACGCCUUGUUUUACAUCUUGCUCUGCACUUUCACCAUCACGAGUCACGACUCUGCUACAGAACGGAGGCUAUAGGUUGAGAGAGAAUUUUAUCUAACGUUAAUUCCUACAACAAUACAGUGAGGUAAAUAAUUAGCUCAAAAACUCGGUGCUGUGUUGCAAAAAGUGAAACAGCCCGGUCCUUAUCACCGCACGGCAGAUGCCCCACAAAAGCACAUGACAGGGGAGUUUUUGCACAGUGUUGAUUUGCACCUCAGGCCAGGCCCUGACUGGCUGCUGGCCUCUGUACCAGGCUGACAAAGCACUGCCUGACGGCUGGAUCCCCCCAUCAUGUUUUGUUACAAGAUCCAAAAGCUUUCAGAGUGCAAUCAUGUGAAAAAGGAGGACGGAGGAGCAUAGUUUCAGUUUCAAUAUCAACAUUAAAGCAAUAUUAACAUGUGAUUGUAGAAGAUCAAGUUUUUUUUUUUCAUUAAAAACUUAGACCAUCAUGUGAUUAACGCACAAGAGGCAUGUUAACGUGUGACCACAUGUUGCAGUGUGAGCACACACUGUACACACCUUACACUCAACAUUUCUGACAGCAACAAACGCUCCUCCGUCAGAGGAGUACAGAUGGUAACUGAAAGUGUUGUAAAGAAAUAAUUCUGGAGCCGUGAUGCACCAACUGUUGUUCUCCUCUGUGUGUAAUUCAGCUGAGACAUCCCCAUACAAAUACAAACCAACUUCUGAGCAUUAUCUUUUGGGAGAAUGUGUAAUGACUUCAUUUCUGCGCCGAAUCACCUCCUUAAAAUGGAUUGGAUCUAUUUUUAUGCUAAGCAUUUGCAUUCUAGAGGCAUUUGUGAAUAUCUGAUGGCUUGCACUUGCACCAGGAAGAGGCACAGACAGGCGGGGAUGCUGGUGCAGAGCUUUAGGCAUCAUCUGUUCCAUAAUACAACCAAAACCAGUCCUAUCCUCAUGGUAUUGUUAAUUUAAAGCGACAGGGGGAUCAGAAACAGUACAAAUAGUAGUGUCUUUCAACUGGUAAUUCUCUUCCUCUUUAAAUCUUUUUUCUUAAUAUUGUAGUCCCUCU